AGGUUAAGACUAUUUUUCAGGAAUCAUUUCUAUAGUUUUUAACUUGGCAAAUGUGUUUCUAAAGUGUUUGGUUUCUCCAACCAUGAUGAAGAGUUCUGAUACUUCUUCCUGAGCAUGAAAUGGACAGAAAGUAAUGAUAUUUAUCUUCUGUCAUUGAUGAUUGUUCAUUGCUUUCGAAUGGGGGUGAUGAAAGAAGGAGUAUGGUCUGAGUGGU